AAUCAAGUAAAAUAGAGCUAUUUGGAAACAAGACAAAUUUUCAGGGGCUGUGGAGAAAUUCAAUCAAUGCAGCAGUUGUGAGCAUGCAAUUUAUACCCUACUAGAUGUACAAAAGAAGAUCUAGCAAAUGGUCAAGAUAAUGCUAUUACAGGAUUCCACCUCUGUACUUCAUAGAAAUGAGUUCGUCAUGUGCCAUCAAGUCAGAACCAAAUUCUAGCAACUCUAACAGGGCUUUCAAUUGGACUGACUAGCUAUGAAAACCUCAUGCAGGCUAAGGCUAGCAACAGCACAGCUCGGAGGAGAAUCUGUCCC